GAUGAACGCUGGCGGCGUGCCUAAUACAUGCAAGUCGAGCGAACAGACGAGGAGCUUGCUCCUCUGACGUUAGCGGCGGACGGGUGAGUAACACGUGGAUAACCUACCUAUAAGACUGGGAUAACUUCGGGAAACCGGAGCUAAUACCGGAUAAUAUAUUGAACCGCAUGGUUCAAUAGUGAAAGACGGUUUUGCUGUCACUUAUAGAUGGAUCCGCGCCGCAUUAGCUAGUUGGUAAGGUAACGGCUUACCAAGGCAACGAUGCGUAGCCGACCUGAGAGGGUGAUCGGCCACACUGGAACUGAGACACGGUCCAGGCUCCUACGGGAGGCAGCAGUAGGGAAUCUUCCGCAAAGGGCGAAAGCCUGACGGAGCAACGCCGCGUGAGUGAUGAAGGUCUUCGGAUCGUAAAACUCUGUUAUUAGGGAAGAACAAAUGUGUAAGUAACUAUGCACGUCUUGACGGUACCUAAUCAGAAAGCCACGGCUAACUACGUG
rnacentral:rRNA from 1 species